GAUGAACGCUGGCGGCGUGCCUAAUACAUGCAAGUCGAGCGAACGGACGAGAAGCUUGCUUCUCUGAUGUUAGCGGCGGACGGGUGAGUAACACGUGGAUAACCUACCUAUAAGACUGGGAUAACUUCGGGAAACCGGAGCUAAUACCGGAUAAUAUUUUGAACCGCAUGGUUCAAAAGUGAAAGACGGUCUUGCUGUCACUUAUAGAUGGAUCCGCGCUGCAUUAGCUAGUUGGUAAGGUAACGGCUUACCAAGGCAACGAUGCAUAGCCGACCUGAGAGGGUGAUCGGCCACACUGGAACUGAGACACGGUCCAGACUCCUACGGGAGGCAGCAGUAGGGAAUCUUCCGCAAUGGGCGAAAGCCUGACGGAGCAACGCCGCGUGAGUGAUGAAGGUCUUCGGAUCGUAAAACUCUGUUAUUAGGGAAGAACAUAUGUGUAAGUAACUGUGCACAUCUUGACGGUUCCUAAUCAGAAAGCCACGGCUAACUACGUG
rnacentral:rRNA from 1 species